CUUUAGAUUAUGUAACCCUCUCUGUCUCCUUAAAGAUUUUGCCUUGAUUAUAGACUGAAGUAUAUGUGUGCAUUCAAUCAUAUAUGCAACAUAUUUUGAUGUUCAGGAUAAUGUACAUCACAUUAUCCACCUCACUGCUAACUUCGCAUUUUUGACUGUCUUGGGCAAGCUGAAGUGACUAGGGAUAUCAAGCAGCAUGCCUUUAUUGUAGGUUGGAUAUUAGGCUAACUGCACCUUCUGUAUUGGAAAACAGCACAUUGCUGUGCUUUAUCAGUGUAACAUGCAGAUUUUGUUUCUGCAUAUUCUGGGAAAG